rnacentral:lncRNA from 1 species
UCAUCCAUGAUUCUGCUUCUACUGGAUCAGCUGUGCCUAUAAAUACUUUAGCUCCUAAUUUAGUAGCCCGCUCUAUACUACAAUCUUUAUCUGUAUUGCGUAGAGCAGAAGCAACAGCAGUGGCAAUCCUAUCAGCUAUUAAGUCAGGCUGGGCUACAUCCCCAUAUCUCUGCUGAUCAUGGGUCGAAUGAACUGAUUCCUCGACCCUACUGGCAUCCCUAUCAGGAGCAGCUGGUGGUUGAGAUGACAUAUCUUGGAGCUUGCGUGUCUUAUUACCACG